rnacentral:rRNA from 1 species
GAUGAACGCUGGCGGCGUGCCUAACACAUGCAAGUCGAACGGAGUCCAGCCUUUAAGACCUUCGGGUCAAAGAGGGGAAGACUGAGUGGCGGACGGGUGAGUAACACGUGGGCAACCUGGCUCAUAGAGGGGGAUAACAGAGAGAAAUUUCUGCUAAUACCGCAUAAGCACACCCUGCCGCAUGGCAGAGGGUGAAAAGAGAAUCGCUAUGAGAUGGACCCGCGUCUGAUUAGCCAGUUGGCAGGGUAAGAGCCUACCAAAGCGACGAUCAGUAGCCGAUCUGAGAGGAUGAGCGGCCACAUUGGGACUGAGGCACGGCCCAAACUCCUACGGGAGGCAGCAGUGGGGGAUAUUGCACAAGGGGGGGAACCCUGAUGCAGCGACGCCGCGUGAGUGAAGAAGUAUUUCGGUAUGUAAAGCGCUAUCAGCAGGGAAGAUAAUGACAGUACCUGAAUAAGAAGCCCCGGCUAACGACGUG